UACAGAGGGUGCAAGCGUUGUUCGGAAUUACUGGGCGUAAAGCGUGCGUAGGUGGUCUUUUAAGUCCGUUGUGAAAGCCCUGGGCUCAACCUGGGAAUGGCAGUGGAUACUGGAAGGCUGGAGUACGGUAGAGGAGGGUGGAAUUCCCGGUGUAGCGGUGAAAUGCGUAGAGAUCGGGAGGAACAUCAGUGGCGAAGGCGGCUCUCUGGGACGGUACUGACGCUGAGACGCGAAAGCGUGGGGAGCGAACAGG
rnacentral:rRNA from 1 species